rnacentral:rRNA from 1 species
ACCAGACUCCUACGGGAGGCAGCAGUGGGGAAUAUUGCACAAUGGGGGAAACCCUGAUGCAGCGACGCCGCGUGAAGGAAGAAGUAUUUCGGUAUGUAAACUUCUAUCAGCAGGGAAGAAAAUGACGGUACCUGACUAAGAAGCCCCGGCUAACUACGUGCCAGCAGCCGCGGUAAUACGUAGGGGGCAAGCGUUAUCCGGAUUUACUGGGUGUAAAGGGAGCGUAGACGGCAAUACAAGUCGGAAGUGAAAUACCCGGGCUCAACCUGGGAAUUGCUUUGGAAACUGUAUGGCUGGAGUGCUGGAGAGGUAAGCGGAAUUCCUAGUGUAGCGGUGAAAUGCGUAGAUAUUAGGAGGAACACCAGUGGCGAAGGCGGCUUACUGGACAGUAACUGACGUUGAGGCUCGAAAGCGUGGGGAGCAAACAGGAUUAGAUACCCUAGUA